rnacentral:rRNA from 1 species
UACAGAGGGUGCAAGCGUUAAUCGGAAUUACUGGGCGUAAAGCGCACGUAGGCGGUUUUUUAAGUCAGAUGUGAAAGCCCCGGGCUCAACCUGGGAACUGCAUCCAAAACUGCUGAGCUAGAGUACGGUAGAGGGUGGUGGAAUUUCCUGUGUAGCGGUGAAAUGCGUAGAUAUAGGAAGGAACACCAGUGGCGAAGGCGACCACCUGGACUGAUACUGACACUGAGGUGCGAAAGCGUGGGGAGCAAACAGG